rnacentral:lncRNA from 12 species
UGUCCUCAUCCACAGGUGUGACCUCACUGGUGGGAUGCUGGCCACAUGCCAGGUGCAGGGCCAGGGUGAGCCCCAUGACGGGUGCUACCAUGGAGAUAAGAACUGACAGCCAGGGCCUCUCAGGGGAGAGAGGGGGCACCUGAGGGAGGCCUUCGAGGAUGAGUAGGAGUUUGCAGGAAAGGCAGCAAGAGCGGUGUGACUCUGUGUGGCCAGAUGCCUGCGGAAGGGGAAGGGCUCCAGAGGACCAGUUCCACCUUCCAGAUGUGCUGUAAAGCACACAGACAGAACAGAGCGACCACUUGAGUCCCUGACUGGGCAGCCCCUGGCAUCUCUGAGUGCAGCACCUAAUCCUCCAGCGCUCUUUAUCAAAUACCCCGGCCUUUAAAGUGUUAUUAAAUGCCUUUUUUUGGAUUAUAAUUUUUACUCUUGA